rnacentral:rRNA from 1 species
AGCGGCGAGCGAAGCGGGAAGAGCUCAAAUUUAUAAUCUGGCACCUUCGGUGUCCGAGUUGUAAUCUCUAGAAAUGUUUUCCGCGUUGGACCGCACACAAGUCUGUUGGAAUACAGCGGCAUAGUGGUGAGACCCCCGUAUAUGGUGCGGACGCCCAGCGCUUUGUGAUACAUUUUCGAAGAGUCGAGUUGUUUGGGAAUGCAGCUCAAAUUGGGUGGUAAAUUCCAUCUAAAGCUAAAUAUUGGCGAGAGACCGAUAGCGAACAAGUACCGUGAGGGAAAGAUGAAAAGCACUUUGGAAAGAGAGUUAACAGUACGUGAAAUUGUUGGAAGGGAAACGCUUGAAGUCAGACUUGCUUGCCGAGCAAUCGGUUUGCAGGCCAGCAUCAGUUUUCCGGGAUGGAUAAUGGUAGAGAGAAGGUAGCAGUUUCGGCUGUGUUAUAGCUCUCUGCUGGAUACAUCUUGGGGGACUGAGGAACGCAGUGUGCCUUUGGCGGGGGUUUCGACCUCUUCACACUUAGGAUGCUGGUGGAAUGGCUUUAAACGACCCGUCUUGAAC